GACGAACGCUGGCGGCGUGCCUAACACAUGCAAGUCGAACGGAGAAUCAGUAAUGGUUCUUAGUGGCGAACGGGUGAGUAACGCGUAGACAACCUACCUUCCAGAUGGGGACAACAUCGCGAAAGCGGUGCUAAUACCGAAUGUGUUAUUUCUCUUACCUAAGAGAAAUAAGAAAGGCGGCCUCUAUUUAUAAGCUGUCGCUGGAAGAUGGGUCUGCGUCUGAUUAGCUAGUUGGUGGGGUAACGGCUCACCAAGGCGACGAUCAGUAGCCGGUCUGAGAGGAUGAACGGCCACACUGGGGCUGAGACACGGCCCAGACUCCUACGGGAGGCAGCAGUGGGGAAUCUUCCGCAAUGGACGAAAGUCUGACGGAGCAACGCCGCGUGAGUGAAGAAGGUUUUCGGAUCGUAAAGCUCUGUCUUUUGGGACGAACGUGCGCUAUGUAAAUAAUGUAGUGUAAUGACGGUACUGAAGAAGGAAGCCACGGCUAACUACGUGCCAGCAGCCGCGGUAAUACGUAGGUGGCAAGCGUUGUCCGGAAUUAUUGGGCGUAAAGCGCGCGCAGGCGGAAUAAUAAGUCUGUCGUGAAAGUGCGGGGCUCAACCCCGUGAUUGCAAUGGAAACUGUUAUUCUUGAGUGCAGGAGAGGAAAGUGGAAUUCCCAGUGUAGCGGUGAAAUGCGUAGAUAUUGGGAGGAACACCAGUGGCGAAGGCGACUUUCUGGACUGUGUCUGACGCUGAGGCGCGAAAGCCAGGGUAGUGAACGGGAUUAGAUACCCCGGUAAUCCUGGCCGUAAACGAUGGGUACUAGGUGUAGGGGGUAUCGACCCCUCCUGUGCCGGAGUU
rnacentral:rRNA from 1 species